rnacentral:rRNA from 1 species
CCCUUAGAUGCUCUGGGCCGCACGCGCGCUACACUGGUCGAUGCAACGAGUUUCUUUCCUUGGCCGACAGGCCUGGGCAAUCUUUGAACAUCGAUCGUGAUCGGGAUAGAUUCUUGUAAUUUUUGAUCUUAAACGAGGAAUUCCUAGUAAACGCAAGUCAUCAGCUUGCAUUGAUUACGUCCCUGCCCUUUGUACACACCGCCCGUCGCACCUACCGAUUGAAUGGUCCGGUGAAAUCUCCGGACUGGCGUGAGUCGGAGCAAUCUGACAAACACCGGAAAGUUGAUUAAACCUUACCAUGUAGAGGAAGGUGAAGUCGUAACA